rnacentral:rRNA from 1 species
UGCUUAGCGGCGGACGGGUGAGUAACACGUAGGCAACCUGCCCUCAAGCUUGGGACAACUACCGGAAACGGUAGCUAAUACCGAAUACUUGUUUUCUUCGCCUGAAGGGAACUGGAAAGACGGAGCAAUCUGUCACUUGAGGAUGGGCCUGCGGCGCAUUAGCUAGUUGGUGAGGUAACGGCUCACCAAGGCGACGAUGCGUAGCCGACCUGAGAGGGUGAUCGGCCACACUGGGACUGAGACACGGCCCAGACUCCUACGGGAGGCAGCAGUAGGGAAUCUUCCGCAAUGGGCGAAAGCCUGACGGAGCAAUGCCGCGUGAGUGAUGAAGGUUUUCGGAUCGUAAAGCUCUGUUGCCAGGGAAGAACGCUUGGGAGAGUAACUGCUCUCAAGGUGACGGUACCUGAGAAGAAAGCCCCGGCUAACUACGUGCCAGCAGCCGCGGUAAUACGUAGGGGGCAAGCGUUGUCCGGAAUUAU